rnacentral:rRNA from 1 species
CUAGGGGGGCUGCAGUGGGGAAUAUUGGACAAUGGGCGAAAGCCUGAUCCAGCCAUGCCGCGUGUGUGAAGAAGGCCUUCGGGUUGUAAAGCACUUUCAGUGGGGAAGAAAGCCUUGGGGCUAAUACCCUCGAGGAAGGACAUCACCCACAGAAGAAGCACCGGCUAACUCCGUGCCAGCAGCCGCGGUAAUACGGAGGGUGCGAGCGUUAAUCGGAAUUACUGGGCGUAAAGCGCGCGUAGGCGGUCUGAUAAGCCGGUUGUGAAAGCCCCGGGCUCAACCUGGGAACGGCAUCCGGAACUGUCAGGCUAGAGUGCAGGAGAGGAAGGUAGAAUUCCCGGUGUAGCGGUGAAAUGCGUAGAGAUCGGGAGGAAUACCAGUGGCGAAGGCGGCCUUCUGGACUGACACUGACGCUGAGGUGCGAAAGCGUGGGUAGCAAACAGGAUUAGAUACCCUAGUAGUC